AGAGAAGAUGUGCGUUGACUUCGGUGACAUCUGACCAGAGACUGUCUGUGGCUCCCACUGUGACACACACAAACACACAAAAUGUCUUCCCAGAUCUAUUUGCCUCAGGAUCAUCACCACAGCAGUAGAGGGUAAACAGCUUCCUCCGUACCAGAUGCCGUUGCUCGAUGCAGAUGGAACAAUCGAUGACGGGUUGGAGUCAGAUGAGGAACGGGAGCCAAUGGCUUUGGAUGACAUGAGGGUUUAAGUGUUAGUCUCAUUUAGAUGAGACCAAAAGGGGGAAUUGUGGGAUUUUUAUAUUUCUAAAUUGAGUUCUUAUACCCAUUUUUAUACUAAUGGCUUGCAUUUAUAGAAUCAUAUGUUUUUAUAUUAACUGCUUGCUUUUAUAGAAUCAUAUUCCUCAUGUUUUGCACUGUUUAUGAGGAUAUUUUACACUGUCUAUGAAGAUGUUAAAAUACUGGAUGAGGGAGGUAUGCAAGAGUGGAAAAUUACUAGGUGAAAAGUUAUGAUGGAGACUCUGUUUCAAGGUUGUGCUGGAAGACUCUGUUCCACAGAUAAGAACAAGGUUUCAUCCUCCCCCACAAAGAGAGGGGAACCAUCUUCAUGGCUGUGAGGUUCGGAGCGUCCAGAUCGGGACAACAAGAUGGCUGCUCAUACGCAAAGGAGGGGGUCAGAUCCACAGAGGACAACCAACCAGCAGAAAGACACACCCUGAAUGCUUAUGCACCUGUGAAACUAGAUAUAAGGCUGGGUCAGGGGAAGAACAGUGUGUCAGACUUCGUGAACUGACAAGAACUCUGUUGUUGUCAGGGAUAGAAGUUUGGACCCAGAGCUCUGUACUAUAUUCAAUCUGCUGUUAAAUAAACAUGUUUAAUGAGAUCUAAA